ACGAAGCGUACCUUUGGGUACGCUUAGUGGCGGAAGGGUUAGUAAUACAUGGGUAAUCUACCUUUAACACUGGGAUAACAGCUGGAAACGGUCGCUAAUGCCGGAUAUGGUGGCUGCAGGAGACUGCGGUUCAUUAAAGUAGGGGAUCGAGAGAUCGACCUCGCGGUUAAAGAGGGGCCUAUGGGAUAUCAGCUAGUUGGUAGGGUAAUGGCCUACCAAGG
rnacentral:rRNA from 1 species